rnacentral:rRNA from 1 species
CCUACGGGAGGCAGCAGUGAGGAAUAUUGGUCAAUGGGCGGGAGCCUGAACCAGCCAAGUCGCGUGAGGGAAGAUGGUCCUAUGGAUUGUAAACCUCUUUAGGCGGGGAGCAAUGCCGGGCACGCGUGCCCGGAGGGAGAGUACCCGCAGAAUAAGCAUCGGCUAACUCCGUGCCAGCAGCCGCGGUAAUACGGAGGAUGCGAGCGUUAUCCGGAUUUAUGGGGUUUAAAGGGUGCGUAGGCGGAUUGUUAAGUCAGCGGUAAAAUGUCCGGGCUCAACCCGGGCCGGCCGUUGAAACUGGGGAUCUUGAGUGGGCGAGAAGUAUGCGGAAUGCGUGGUGUAGCGGUGAAAUGCAUAGAUAUCACGCAGAACUCCGAUUGCGAAGGCAGCAUACCGGCGCCCGACUGACGCUGAGGCACGAAAGCGUGGGGAUCGAACAGGAUUAGAUACCCGAGUAGUC